CGAAGCUCUCGUUUUACUGGUCAGUCUUCAUUCCUACUCUCACCUAUGGUCAUGAGGGUUGGGUCAUGAGCAAAAUAACUAUAUCACAGGUACAAGCAACCAAAAUUGGCUUCCUUAGGAGGGUGGCUGGUGUCUCCCUUAGAGAUAGGGUGAGAAGUUCAGAGCAGAGCCGCUGCUCCU